GAUCCUGCUCAGAACGAACGCUGGCGGCAGGCUUAACACAUGCAAGUUGAACGGGAUUUGUAUGGUGCUUGCACCAUGUAAUGAGAGUAGCGCACUGGUGAGUAACACGUGGGAACAUACCUUGAAGUGGGGGACAACAGUUGGAAACGACUGCUAAUACCGCAUAAUCCCUGAGGGGGAAAGAUUUAUCGCUUUAAGAUUGGCCCGCGGAAGAUUAGGUAGUUGGUGGGGUAAAGGCCUACCAAGCCGACG
rnacentral:rRNA from 1 species